rnacentral:misc_RNA from 1 species
GAUGACAAAAAGGGGGAGAAUGGAUGUGUGCUUUGUGUGCUUUUGUUUUGUAAAAAUGGAUGUGUGCUUAUAUUUUGAAAAUGGAUGUAUACUUAUGUUUUAGAAGUGUGUAUGCAAACUAUUGUGACUUAUGUGUGCAAACUAUUAAGUUUAAUAUUUUGCAUAUUGAAAUUGUGGAUAUCUUAUGAAUAUGUUUUGUAGCAUAAAUUCAGGGGAAGUUUUGUAUAGCUAUUAAUACUUUUAUUUUUUUUAACUUGUGUGCAUACAUUUAGGAGGAGUAAUUUCUGCAUAUUAACAUGCUUGGUUAUACAUAAACUUAC